GACGAACCGAGCGAACGUUGUUCGGAAUCACUGGGCUUAAAGGGCGCGUAGGCGGGCAUUCAAGUCUGUGGUGAAAUCCGGCAGCUUAACUGUCGAAUUGCCAUGGAUACUGGGUGUCUCGAGGGAGGCAGGGGUGCGCGGAACUAAUGGUGGAGCGGUGAAAUGCGUUGAUAUCAUUAGGAACUCCGGUGGCGAAGGCGGCGCACUGGUCCUUUUCUGACGCUGAGGCGCGAAAGCCAGGGGAGCAAAGCGGG
rnacentral:rRNA from 1 species